rnacentral:rRNA from 1 species
AGCGAACGCUGGCGGCAGGCUUAACACAUGCAAGUCGAGCGGGCGUAGCAAUACGUCAGCGGCAGACGGGUGAGUAACGCGUGGGAACAUACCUUUUGGUUCGGAACAACACAGGGAAACUUGUGCUAAUACCGGAUAAGCCCUUACGGGGAAAGAUUUAUCGCCGAAAGAUUGGCCCGCGUCUGAUUAGCUAGUUGGUGAGGUAACGGCUCACCAAGGCGACGAUCAGUAGCUGGCUGAGAGGAUGAUCAGCCACAUUGGGACUGAGACACGGCCCAAACUCCUACGGGAGGCAGCAGUGGGGAAUAUUGGACAAUGGGCGCAAGCCUGAUCCAGCCAUGCCGCGUGAGUGAUGAAGGCCCUAGGGUUGUAAAGCUCUUUUGUGCGGGAAGAUAAAUGACGGUACCGCAAGAAUAAGCCCCGGCUAACUUCGUGCCAGCAGCCGCAGUAAG